CGCUCCAUCCACGUGCGUCAGCUGCGUUUCCAUCACUGGAUUUGACGGGUUCCCAUACCAACAACGUGCAUCACUUGACAGGAAUGAAAGGAGACAGCGAUCAUGCCAUUAAAGCAACUUGGGUCCUCCAACUUUUCUGCAUCUCUCUCCUGACUUCCUUUGGGAAAGGAGAAGAGGCGUCCUGCCAUGGAGCCUUUGAUUUAUAUUUUGUGUUGGAUCGGUCAGGCAGUGUUUCUGACAACUGGAUGGAGAUCUAUGGAUUUGUGGAACAACUUACUAAUCGUUUCGUAAGCCCGAAAAUGAGAGUGUCCUUCAUAGCCUUUUCCUCUAGUGCAGAAGUAGUCUUGCCUCUCACUGGAGACAGGGCAGCUAUUGAUAGUGGUCUGCAAAGUUUGAGCAAGAUCAGACCUGCUGGUGAUACCUACAUGCACGAGGGGUUAAGAAAGGUAUUAAAACAAAUGACUACCCAGGGCGCCAGAGCAUCCAGCAUCAUUAUUGCACUGACUGAUGGGAAGCUGGAGGUUUAUCCACAUGACCUUGCUGUGAAAGAGGCUAACCAGGCAAGACAGUAUGGUGCACGCAUAUAUUGUGUUGGUGUGAAGGACUUUGAUGCAAACCAGCUUGCAGAUAUUGCAGACAGCAAAGAUCAAGUGUUUCCUGUUGUGGAUGGAUUCCAGGCCCUCAAAACCAUCGUAAAUUCGAUUUUAAAGAAAUCCUGUGUGGAGAUUUUCAACCUUGAGCCCUCCAGCAUUUGCGUCAAUGAAACUUUCAACAUUGUGUUGCGAGGAAGGGGAUUCACGCAGGGAAGAACCUCAGAUGGUGUGGUCUGCACAUUAUCUGUCAAUCAACAGGAUCCUUACAAUGAGAAGCCGAGUGCAGUGAAGGAUAAUUACGUGCUGUGUCCAGCUCCAGUGUUGACCGAGGUUGGACACUCCAUCGAUGUGCUCAUUAGUCUGAAUAAUGGCCAGUCUUACAUUUCAAGUCCAAUCACAAUAUAUGCCAACACAUGUUCUGAUGGGAUAGUGAUAGUGAUUGUCAUCCUGUUGCUGCUGGUGUUGUUGUGUUUAAUUGUGCUCUGGUGGUUCUGGCCGCUCUGCUGCAUGGUGGUAAUCAGCGAUCCACCCCCAUCUCGCCCUCCGCCUCCAUGCCCAAUACCUGAACCUGAGGAGGACCUUCUGCCGAAGAAGAAAUGGCCUACAGUGGAUGCGUCUUAUUAUGGAGCCAGAGGGCCUGGCGGCAUCACACCCAUGGAGGUUCGCUGGGGUGAAAGGGGCUCUACAGAGGAAGGGACGCGGUUAGCGAAAGCUAAAAAUGCUGUGGUCAAAAUGCCAGAGGAGGAGUUUGAAGAACCUGUAAAAACACCCCCACCCAGACCACCACCAAUAUAUCAAGCCCCAGUCCCAGACAAAUGGUACACACCCAUUAAAGUAAGUUUCCUGUCAACAAUGACUUUUUAUAGCUCGACUCGGAUAAUGUAUGUAUGUUUGAAAAUGCUGUUGUGCUUCUCAGUGUUUUUCUGUAAUGUGAAUGUUUUUAGGGACGUUUUGAUGCUGUGUUAGCAUUGCUGCGUAGACAAUACGACAGAGUUGCUAUCAUGAGACCCACAGCAAAUGACAAGGGGCGCUGCAUCAAAUUCACCCGGGUUCAAAGUCAUUAACAAACAUAAAGUGUCCUUUACUUUAAAGUACGUUCAGACGAGGAUUGGGGAAUCCACAGCGGCAUGAAAACAGUGUGAAACUGUACUUCUGAGUUAAAUCCUUUGAGUUUUAAUUCAUAGAUUUAUAAAUCUAUCCUGCCUGAUUUUUUUUCCUGCAUAUGUCUUUGAAUAUGGUUGAAUCCACUACUUUUUAACCAUUAAUAUUUUUUUUUAGUUUUUCUAGUUACAAAUCAAUACAGUGCCUUCUUGUGAGUGUAUUAUGAAUGGGUUUUUCAAGGAAAGAAAAUGUAAAUAUAUAUAUUUUUUUUUUCAUAAUUAUUUCUUUCAUCAUUAUAAGUGAAGAUGUUAAUUAUGCCAUAAAUUCAUGGAGAUUUGUAUUUACCUAUUUGUUUUUAUAUUUAUUUAUAACAAUUUGAUUCAGUCAAUAGAUUAUAUUUGUGACAUUUUUGCUAAUGAAGUAAAUGGCAAAUAAAUCCAUUAAAAUAAAUUAUAGUAGGCCACUUGUUCACUUAUAAUUUUUUGUGGAAACUUUGUAGAUACAUUACAAUUCAACAGUUAACAGUAAUAUAUAUAUAUUUAUAUAGUUAAUAUAUAUAUAAUUUUUUAUUCUGAAAGGAUGCGUAAAAAUGAUCAAAAGUGACUAUUUUUAAAAUGCUACUAAAGUUUAUUGUUGUAUUUCAAAGUAUUUUGAAUUUCCCUGCAUCAAAGAAUACUGAAGGAAAUAUGUAAUAAUUUCUGCAAAAGAAUUAAGCAUCAGAAACGUGAUAACUCUAUGAAAACUUUAUAUCAGUAUUAAGAACAAUUAAGUUAAUAAUUGAG